UAAUGUGAUUAUAAAUUAUUACAAAGCAAAAAAAAAAGGAAUAAAAGUGAACAAGCCUGAAUGAAUCUCGAAUAAAAGUGAAUGAAAGUUCAUAAAAAUGCAUGAAAGCAAAUAAAAAAACGAUUGGUGUUGGGGUACUUACGGGGCGCGACGGGUAUUGGGAGCCCCAUGGGGCACUUGGGGAACCCCCAUCGGGCUCUUGGGGGUCCCUAUAGGGUGCCGUGCCACUGAUGAUGCUGAUGAUGUCAUCAAGGUCCUGGUGACAUCACACCACCAUAAGUCAAUAAAUGCCAUGAGGCAUAUGCUGUGCAUCUAUAGGGAACUAUGGGGCAGUGGGGAGGGGGUCUAUAGGGUGCUAUGUGGGAGUGCAGGGUGUGUAUAGGGCUCUAUGGGUUGUCAUGGGGCCACAUGUGGGUCUAUAGGGUAUCUAGCAGUUCCUGUGGGUCUCUAUGGGGUGUCUAUGGGUGGCUGUGGCACACUACAGGGGGUCCAGGGCUUGCUAUAGGGUGUCUGUGGGGUAUCUGUAGGUCGCAGUGGAUCAUUAUGAGGAUCUAUGAGUCUCUGUGGGGCAUCUGUGAGUCACUUUGGAGUAGCCCUGGGUUGCGGUGGGGUGUCUAUCGGUCACUUGAGCCAUAGACACCCACAGCAACUGCUAGAUACCCUAUAGACUCACAUAUGGCCACAUGACAACCCCUAUGACUUAUGGUGUUGUGACAUCACCAUGAGUGGGAUGGCAUCAUCGUCAGCAGCAUCGUCAAGCACCAUGGCAUCCCAUAGGGGCCCCACUACCCCUGCCUCCCAUAAGUACCCCUACACCAAUUGGUUUCUUAUUUGCUUUCAUUCAUUUUUAUGAACUUUCAUUCACUUUUAUUCGAGAUUCAUUCAGGCUUGUUCACUUUUACUCUUUUUUAUUUACUUUGUAAUAACUUAUAAUCA
rnacentral:lncRNA from 1 species